UAAAUUAAAUCAUCUUCAACAAAAAAAAUCCAGUGAUCUUGUCCUGCUAUCUCAUUGUCGCCAUCUAUCUCCACUAUCCAUCAUUAAUCAAUCAAAUUACAACAUUGUAAAUUACAUUUGCAUCACAUUGAUCUCAGCCUUAACGAGGAGUACUAAUCAGGGUCUCGUAACCUGGAUGUGAGGACUCGUAAUGUCUUUUUUAUGUAAAUUAUUUUACAAGAAGCCUCCUGAUGGACUUCUCGAAAUUUCUGAGCGAGUUUACGUGUUUGAUUGUUGUUUUGCGAGUGAUACUUGGGAAGCACAAGAAUAUAAGGAUUAUGUUGGAGGUGUUAUUACUCAGCUCGCGGAUCAUUACCCCGAAGCCUCGAUUUUGGUGUUUAACUUCCACGAGGAAGGGGCACCGAGCCAAAUUGCUAAUGCGUUGGCUGAGUAUGACCUUACCAUAAUGGACUACCCUAGGCAUUACGAAAGUUGUCCGGUGCUCCAAAUGGAGGUGAUUCACCGGUUCUUACAAUCGAGUGAGAAUUGGCUAUCACAGGGUCAGCAGAAUGUACUAUUGAUGCACUGUGAAUGGGGCGGUUGGCCUGUUUUGGCUUUUAUGUUGGCUGCACUCUUGAUUUACACCAAGCAAUAUUAUGGGGAGCAGAAGACUCUAGACAUGGUAUACAAGCAGGCUCCUCACGAGCUUUUGCAUUCUAUCUCAUCGACGAAUCCUAUGCCUUCUCAGAUAAGGUAUUUGCAAUAUGUAUCGAGGAGAAAUGUUGUUCCAGAAUGGCCCCCACCAGACAGGGCACUUGCAUUGGAUUGCAUAAUUAUAAGAAUGAUUCCUGACUUUGACGGGAAAGGAGGUUGCCGACCAAUAUUCCGGAUAUAUGCUCAAGAGCCCUUUAAGGUUUCUGAUCAAAACCCUAAACUUCUUUUUUCAACACCAAGGCAGGGCAAGGCUCUUCGGCACUACAAGCAGGCAGAAUGUGAUGUGGCUAAAAUUGAUAUCAAUUGCCACAUUCAAGGUGAUGUUGUGCUUGAGUGCAUGAACUUACACGAUGACAUGGAACAAGAACAGAUGAUUUUACGUGUCAUGUUUAAUACAGCUUUUAUUAGGUCAAAUAUCAUAAUGCUCGACUGGAAUGAUAUUGACAUGCUGUGGGAUGCAAAGGAUCAAUUUGCAAGGGACUUUAGAGCAGAGGUUAUUUUCUCAGAGAUGGAUGCUGCUGCGUCUAGAGUUCCUAUAGAUUUGUCUUGUUUUGAAGAAAAGGAUGGUCUCCCAAUGGAGGCAUUUGCAAAAGUCCAAGAGAUCUUCAAUAAUGUAGACUGGUUAUCACCAAAGAAUGAUGCUGCAUUGGAUAUGAUCCAGCAGAUAACUGGGUCAACAAUUAACGCCCGGGAGAAGCUAGAUGCUGGCCCUGAUAAAACUGCAGAUCCUAGCAGCCUUUUGCUAAAGCUGGCUGAAAAGCAUCAAGAUGAACAACAGAGUCCUAAACCACUGGACAAUAAGAACCAAUCCGAGACCUCUCAUGGGACGGCUCAAGUUCAAAAUACAAGUGAAAAUAUGGCCAAGCCAAAAUCCACUGAGUUCAAAUCUGAAGGAACUUCCCCUUCACAACAUUCACAACCCUCCUCCAGAGUAGCUUCUACAGAGUCUUCUCCCUCUCUACAUGCACCUUCUUCGCCAGAAAAAUCUCAACAUCGAUCAACCUCGGAAGAUAUAGGUCCUUCAUCUACAGAACUGCCUGAUGCUAACAAAUAUGAAAGAUCUGAGAAUGCUCCAUCGGCUGUUUCCAAAUCCAGGCAGCCUCCCAAGGAGGAGUUUGCUUCUAAAACUAAAUCUCCUCCCCCUCCUGCUGUUGACAUUGGUCACUCUCCAGAUUCUCCUCCUUCCACAACACCACAUGUACCUCAAACUACUCCUUUAAAAGAUGGCUCACCUGGAAGUGUAAAAUCUGCACAUCCUCACCCGCAACACACAGAUGCUGCUUUUCAAUCUUCUAAGGAUACCAAAGAUACUAAAAAUGAUCAACCUCAAGCUCCCACCUCACCCGCAAUUCCUUCAGACACACAUGCUUCACCUGUAGUUCCUGGGAAGGACCAGGACAUUAAAAAUGAACCUUCUUCCCCUCCAGAUCCUGCUUCAGCGAAGGAUCAAAACGUCAAAUUUGGUGGGGCUCCACCGCCAUCUUCUCCUUCUACUUCCCCAUCGAAGGAAGAUUCACCUCCGAAGGGCAAACCUCCUCCACCUCCGGCUCCCAAUUUAUCAUCCCAUGCUCCUCCUGCACCUCCUUCUGCAGUAGCUCCUCUCCAGCCCCCACCUGCAGGAGCUGAAUGUCAACAAGGUCCUCCUCCCCCCCCUCCACCCGGAGCUUCAAAUCAACAGGGUCCUCCCCCGCCCCCUCCACCAGGAGCUGAAAAUCAACAGGGUCCUCCCCCGCCCCCUCCACCAGGAGCUGCAAAUCAACAGGGCCCUCCUCCGCCCCCUCCACCAGGAGCUGCAAAUCAACAGGGCCCUCCUCCGCCCCCUCCACCAGGAGCUGCAAAUCAACAGGGCCCUCCUCCGCCCCCUCCACCAGGAGCUGGAAAUCCUCAAGCCCCUAUUCCACCCCCUUCUGGACCCCCAUGCAUGGGAAGGGGAGGAUUAUUAUCACGAACAAUGAAUCGGACCAAUAAAUUGAAGCCGUUGCAUUGGCUAAAGCUUACUAGAGCUGUACAAGGAAGUCUGUGGGAUGAGACACAAAGAUCUGCUGAUGCUUCCAAGGCACCGGAUAUUGAUAUCCCAGAACUAGAGUCUCUGUUCUCAGCAGCUGUUCCCAAAUCAGGUAAAGGGGGUCCAGGGAGUAAAACGAAUUCACGUACCCCAGCAGUGAACAAGCCUGAAAAAGUGCAGCUGAUCGACCACAAGCGGGCCUAUAAUUGUGAGAUAAUGCUCUCAAAAGUGAAGAUACCUUUGAAUGAAUUGAUGAAUUCGGUCCUAGCCUUGGAAGAUUCAGCAAUAGACGCUGAUCAGUUAGAUAACCUCAUUAAAUUUUGUCCCACGAAAGAGGAGAUGGAAUUGCUUAAGAACUACAAAGCCGAAAAGGAUAAGUUGGGAAAAUGCGAACAGUUCUUCCUUGAACUAAUGAAAGUACCACGGGCAGAAUCCAAGCUCAGAGUUUUCUCUUUCAAGUUGCAGUUUGGAUCCCAGGUUUCCGACCUUCGGAACAGCUUGGAUGUUGUAAAUUCAACUGCAGAACAGAUCAGGAGUUCUAGCAAGUUGAAAAAGAUUAUGCAGACAAUUCUAUCACUAGGAAAUGCUUUGAACCAGGGAACUGCAAGGGGUUCUGCUGUUGGGUUCAAGCUGGAAACCCUACCUAAGUUGGCUGAAACACGUGCUCGCAACAACAAGAUGACUCUUAUGCAUUAUCUAUGCAAGGUGCUUGAUGAAAAACUGCCAGAAGUUCUUGAUUUUUCAAAAGAUCUUGGCAGCUUGGAAUCUUCAUCAAAGAUACAAGUAAAAGCUUUGGCUGAGGAAAUGCAAGCUAUCAACAAAGGUUUGGAGAAGGUAGUCCAGGAAUUGUCCUUGUCUGAAAACGAUGGACCUGUGUCGGAAAAAUUUCAUAAGGUUUCAAGGGAGUUCCUUUGUAUUGCUGAAGGCGAACUUAGGUCUUUAGCUUCACUGUAUUCUGUGGUGGGAAGAAACAUAGAUGAGUCAAUUCUUUACUUUGGAGAAGAUGCAGGUCGUUGUACAUUUGAGCAAGUUGUCUCAACUCUACUUGACUUUGUGAGGAUGUUUAAUAAAGCUCAUGAGGAAAACUGUAAGCAACAGGAGUUGGACAAGAAAAAGGCAGAAAAGGAAGCAGCAAGUGAACAGAAAGAGAAGAAUGAUUCACAUAAGGGUUCUGAAGUCAGUAUUGUCAAAUAAAUUUUGUCGCAAGUCAGUUUAAGACAAUCACUUUCUGGGAUAAGCACUUUAGAUCUAUUGCACGGUGAGAAAAAUCAUCUGCCUGUUGCUAAAAGCAGGACCCUGGAUGGAGUUCAGCAAAGCAGAGAGGGUUCUGAUGGCGAAUGAAGAAAAUAGUGUAUCACUCUUAGAAAAUUGAAGCAGACUUGUUGCUCAAGAUGAUGUGGCAAAAUCUGCUCGGAGUUUUGUGAAAAAAGUUCGGACUGGAAAGUUAUGUGUAGUUCAAUACCUGUGAUGGUCAACUGUCUAACUGCUUGGUCACUGGUCAGAACCAUUUGGAAACAAGCUCAUUAUGUAAAAAGCCGGUGCUCAUUUGGAAAUUGUGCAUUGUUAGAAGUUAGAACCUCCUCUUCUUUGUACUGCAUCUUUUAAAGGGAAGAAGUAAAUAAACAAUAAUCAAACCUCAGAAGUGUCCGGCAUCCAUUAGAAAUUCAUUUUUUCCAUAUUAAUUACUUCAUCUUAGUUUAGAUGAUCUUUUUGCUCAUUUCACACAUU